CUCUGAGAGCCUCUGCAUCA
rnacentral:miRNA from 1 species